GACCACCUAAAUCCACAUCAGAUGGAUUCAGCAGACUCCAUAGCCAACAAGGCAAUUGGAAGGAUGCAAGAGAUUUCGGACAAGAUAUUUUCCGUAGCGAGGGAAACAAUCCGUCCUGGACGUGGGUUGACCUCAUUUGAUGCUACCAAACUUCGUGUAGCUUUGGAGGAGAUAGCUUGCAUGCUGGAGCAAGACUCUCUGGUGUUGCAAGAGCAUUUGGACAUCGUGAACAACGUAAACAUCCCGGUUGACAGCAGCUAUGAACCUUCUACCUUGUCGUCUCCACCCCCAUCUGAUGACGACCUUACUCCACACUGGGACUUUGCGGAGCAUUUCCAAAACUUCUGGGGUGUUGAAUAUGACUCCGAUCACAUGCCUUCGUUUAGUGACAAUGAUGUUUAAGGUAGAAGGGAGUGAACCUUGGAGUUAGGUGUUUGAAUAACAGGGAUGAAUUCACUGUGCUUUUCUGUAGUAAGGUCUUAGGGAAACAGGGAAUGAGUUUGUUCUUUUGGUUAAUGGGCUGUUGUAAAUGUGUUCCCUGUCCUUUUGUGUGCACUACCAGUUUAUUUAAGGUUGUCGUUGUGUAAUUAAGGAAAUUGGAAUCUUAGUACUUAUGGUAUUACCUGAAGUUAAUAUGGCCAGUAUAGUGUUCAUGUUUUUGUUGUUUUUAAUCCGAGAGCACUACUACGUAUGUUGAAUACUAUAUACUUGUUAUGCACUAGAUGGACAAGUCCGGCAAAGUGAUUGCAAAGUGGGAUAGUAGAGCAACAAAAAUUUACACAGAAAUUUGUGUAGAAGAGGUCAAUGCUCGGAACAGGCCACAACAAUUUCUAAAUGCAGAAGGGUAUGCUAACCUCAUAAGGAAGUUUAAGGAACGCACUGGUCGCACUUACACCAGGGAUCAAAUGAAGAAUAGGUGGGAUUCGUUGAAGAGAAUGUUCACCCAGUGGAAAACUCUUAAUGAAAGGGCUACAGGUCUUGGUCGAGACCCUCAUACUGGUUCAAUCAGUGCGCCAGAUGAGUGGUGGGCCAAGCAAAAUGAAGUAAGUACAUCUUUUUUUCCUAGACUAACAUUAGUAUUGGCCAUCUAAAACUAGGAACUACCAUUUGGUGCAGGCAAUGCCAGGUUGUAUUAUGUUCAAAACAGCCCCCCACAGUCAUUUAGGCAGUUAAGGAAUAAGUUUGGUCACUCGUUGGAAACAAUUAGUCGCAAGUAUACUGAAGUCCUUGAUGCACUGUUUAAGAUGUCAUCUGACAUCAUUAAGCCCAAAGACCCAUAUUUCACGGAGAUUCAUCCGCGUUUGCGAGAGGCGAGAUUUUGGCCACACUUCAAGGACUGCAUAGGAGCAAUUGAUGGUAGUCACUUUCCAGCGGCAGUCCCGGCCUCAGAGCAAGCCAAAUAUAUUGGACGGCACGGUUACACUUCGCAGAAUGUAAUGGCCGUUUGUGACUUCGAUAUGAGGUUCACUUUUGUUGUCACAGGAUGGCCUGGAUCCGUACAUGACACUAGAGUACUGCAAGAUACUUUGAUAACUUAUGCGGACAGGUUCCCCCACCCACCAGAAGGUAAAUACUAUCUUGUCGAUUCCGGUUAUCCGAAUAGAAAGGGCUACCUUGCACCUUAUAAGGGUCAGAAAUACCACAUUUCCGAAUGGCAAAAUGCGAGGCAACCUAUUGGCAGCAAAGAAGUUUUUAACUAUGCACACUCUUCGCUACGCAAUGUUAUAGAGCGAUCGUUUGGGGUUCUUAAAAUGAAGUGGAGAGUUCUAUUAAGUCUCCCUUCAUUUUCGCUUGCCAAACAGUCGAAGAUAAUUAUUGCUUGUAUGACAUUGCAUAACUUCAUUAGAGAGAGUGCUCUACACGAUAGAGACUUUGAUGAAGUAGGACCUAGUAGCAGCAGUCAUGAUGUACAUUUAGGUGAGAGUAGUAGUACCACAUCUGAUGAGUUAGACAUGAGUGCUUUUCGAGAUGCAAUUGCUAAUGCUUUAGUGGCGUAGUUAAGUAUGACAAUGUAACGGGACUAAUGAUGUAAUCAACUGCUCUAAUUAUUCUGUAAUGACCUUUUCAUCGUUAUGAGUUUCAUUU